rnacentral:rRNA from 1 species
CGCGUAGGCGGGCUAAUAAGUCAGUGGUGAAAUCUUCCGGCUCAACCGGGAACCUGCCAUUGAUACUGUUAGUCUUGAGUUCGGUUGAGGUAGGCGGAAUGUGUAAUGUAGCGGUGAAAUGCUUAGAUAUUACACAGAACACCAAUUGCGUAGGCAGCUUACUAGACCGACACUGACGCUGAGGCACGAAAGCGUGGGGAGCGAACAGGAUUAGAUACCCUGGUAGUCC